GCAGAAGCUGACAGCUGAAGGACGCCAAAGGCAUCAUCACUAGCCUCCACUACCACCUGGGCUACAAUUUCUAUCCUGGGGCCAAGAGAGGGGGAGUUGGAAACUGGAAAGGAGUAAUACGCAAAUGUUAAAUCAGUAGGGACCUCGUCCUGGGCCACAGUGAUGAUGAUGGGCACUGAUGUCUGAGCAACACCAAAAGAGAUGUUUCCAGACUGGUUUAAGAGUUCCCCUUCUGAGCUAGGAUCAGCUUCCCACUUCACAGUCACAAUGGAGAGAUCGCCAAAGGACCGAUUCACCUGGGAGAGGGAAUCAAGGCAUUGCAAAAUGAGGAUUCAGAAUUCCUGGGAGAAUUAAUAUUUAUGAAAAGCUAGCCACAGACCUGUAGAACCACAGAGCUUUGUCCAUCCUCAGGUUCUGUCCCGUUCACAGACAGGAAGGCAGGGCUGAAUUCAAAGACCCCGUGGGCAUCAUCAGAAGCUGCGAUGCCCUGCCACCUGUUGCACCGAUGACUGUGAGGAACCAUACGCAGCUCUCCAGUUCCAUUAUUGGGAAUCCCGAUCCAGUUCUACAGGAAUGCUCCUGACACACACACCUGCAGCGGCCACGCCAUCUGCCGCUCCACCUGAUCUCGAUGCAACCAAUCGAACUAAAAAGGGAGCGUGUUGCCUGCAUGUAGCCGCGCAUGAAGACUCAUGAAAUAUGCAGCACGACAGGCGCUCACAAAAAAAAAAAGGGAUUCUGUUACAUGUGUCUGUGUGUAUGGUUUCUUUGUAGAAACAGCUGAGUGAUGACCGUGACAUGCCUCUACAAUUGUAAGCGUAUUUACAAUAUUAAUGUUUCGUUUUACACCUUACAUGUUUACAUACGCCAAAGGUUGUACAGUGGACCAUCCAAAGUUGAACACAAUCCGUUUUGUGACAGUUAAAGUGUUCAAAAAUGAAAAGAAAAGCUUUUCUCUCAGAUUUUAAAAACUGUAAUUUUAAGUUAACUUCCAGCACUUUGAAGAUGUCUCACUUAUAUGUAAUGGAGUAAAAUGAUUGGUAAAAGUGUG